rnacentral:rRNA from 1 species
GACGAACCGUGCGAACGUUGUUCGGAAUCACUGGGCUUAAAGGGCGCGUAGGCGGGUGGUCUUGUCCGGGGUGAAAGCCUCCCGCUCAACGGGAGAAGGGCCUCGGAAACGGGCCGCCUCGAGGGGGAUAGGGGCAUGUGGAACUUCCGGUGGAGCGGUGAAAUGCGUAGAUAUCUGGAGGAACACCGGUGGCGAAGGCGGCAUCCUGGACCAAUACUGACGCUGAGGAGCGAAAGCCAGGGGAGCAAACGGG